rnacentral:rRNA from 1 species
UAAGCCCACGGCUCGGCAUCGAGCAGAGGGAAAGAGUGAUCCGCUUUGAGAUGGCCUCGCGUCCGAUUAGCUAGUUGGUGAGGUAAAGGCCCCACCAAGGCGACGAUCGGUAGCCGGACUGAGAGGUUGAACGGCCACAUUGGGACUGAGACACGGCCCAAACUCCUACGGGAGGCAGCAGUGGGGGAAUAUUGCACAAUGGGGGAAACCCUGAUGCAGCGACGCCGCGUGAGUGAAGAAGUAUUUCGGUAUGUAAAGCUCUAUCUAGCAGGGAAGAAAGUGACGGUACCUGAAUAAGAAGACCCCGGCCUAACUACGUG